rnacentral:rRNA from 1 species
UACGGAGGGGGCGAGCGUUGUCCGAAGUUACUGGGCGUAAAGCGCGCGUAGGCGGGCGAUUAAGUGGGAGGUGAAAGGCUGGGGCUCAACCCCAUGCAGUGCCUCCCAUACUGGUCCGUCUUGAGGGCGGUAGGGAGAAGUGGAAUGGCUGGUGUAGCGGUGAAAUGCGUAGAUAUCAGGAAGAACACCCGUGGCGAAGGCGGCUUUCUGGGACGGUACUGACGCUGAGACGCGAAAGCGUGGGGAGCGAACAGG